rnacentral:rRNA from 1 species
UGGGGAAUCUUAGACAAUGGGGGCAASCCUGAUCUAGCCAUGCCGCGUGAGUGAUGAAGGCCUUAGGGUCGUAAAGCUCUUUCKCCAGGGAUGAUAAUGACAGUAUCUGGUAAAGAAACCCCGGCUAACUCCGUGCCAGCAGCCGCGGUAAUACGGAGGGGGUUAGCGUUGUUYGGAAUUACUGGGCGUAAAGCGCACGUAGGCGGAUUAGAAAGUUGGGGGUGAAAUCCCCGGGCUCAACCCUGGAACUGCCUCCAAAACUAUCAGUCUAGAGUUCGAGAGAGGUGAGUGGAAUUCCGAGUGUAGAGGUGAAAUUYGUAGAUAUUUGGAGGAACACCAGUGGCGAAGGCGGCUCACUGGCUCGAUACUGACGCUGAGGUGCGAAAGUGUGGGGAGCAAACAGGAUUAGAUACCCUGGUAGUCCACACCGUAAACGAUGAAUGCCAGUCGUCGGGGAGUAUACUUUUCGGUGACACACCUAACGGAUUAAGCAUUCCGC